rfam:Rattus norvegicus chromosome X, whole genome shotgun sequence.
GGGGAUUUAGCUCAGUGGUAGAGCGCUUGCCUAGGAAGCGCAAGGCCCUGGGUUCGAUCCCCAGCUCCG